GGGGAAUAUUGGACAAUGGGCGCAAGCCUGAUCCAGCAACGCCGCGUGGAGGAUGAAGGUCUUCGGGUUGUAAACUCCUGUUGACCGGGACGAACCCCUCCGGGGCCAAUACCCCUGGAGACUGACGGUACCGGUUGAGGAAGCCCCGGCUAACUCUGUGCCAGCAGCCGCGGUAAUACAGAGGGGGCGAGCGUUGUUCGGAUUUACUGGGCGUAAAGCGCGUGUAGGCGGGCUGGAAAGUUGGGGGUGAAAUCCCGAGGCUCAACCUCGGAACUGCCUCCAAAACUUCCAGCCUGGACCCAAAGAGAGGCAAGUGGAAUUGCGAGUGUAGAGGUGAAAUUCGUAGAUAUUCGCAGGAACACCAGUGGCGAAGGCGACUUGCUGGCUUUGUGGUGACGCUGAGACGCGAAAGCGUGGGGAGCAA
rnacentral:rRNA from 1 species